UGAUUCCAUUGCCGUGCCGGUUAUGUCAUAUGGAAAUUGUUUUUUUUCUUUUGUUUCUGUGCACUGUCAUGUUGGAGUGAGUUUCAGGUUGAAUGUAUUUGUGUUGAUAUUACCAUAUCCAUGUAUAUGAUCACAAAUCAUGGUGAUGCAUUUUGAUACUCAUACCAGUUUCCAUUUAUUGUUCAUAUUCGACGUACAACAGGUUCCUUGGUUAUGAACCGUUUCGGUUAUGUCGCAAUUAUGUAGAAAAAAUAAUAAUAAUCAAGAUUUGUUUUGUA
rnacentral:lncRNA from 1 species